rnacentral:rRNA from 1 species
UACGAAGGGUGCAAGCGUUACUCGGAAUUACUGGGCGUAAAGCGUGCGUAGGUGGUGAGUUAAGUCUGUCGUGAAAGCCCCGGGCUCAACCUGGGAAUGGCGAUGGAUACUGGCUCGCUAGAGUGCGGUAGAGGAGAGUGGAAUUCCCGGUGUAGCAGUGAAAUGCGUAGAGAUCGGGAGGAACAUCAGUUGCGAAGGCGGCUCUCUGGACCGGUACUGACGCUGAGGCACGAAAGCGUGGGGAGCAAACAGG